AUUAAUGAUGCAAAAACAUGACCUACGGUGUCCCUCUAGGAACAGUGCUGGGUGUAAGACUGUUUAUUCCAUGUGUUAUAAGAUAAAUUGUGUUUUAACAGAAAUAGAUUAAUCCUGAACCUAGUAAACAUUGAUGAGAAAAAUGCAUGAAAGAGAAAAGAUGGGGUUGAAUUAUAAAGACAAAAUAAAACUAGAUUUCUAGGUGUGACAUUGAACCACAAAAUCUAAUGUCGAUCAUGUAACAGCUAAACUUAUAAAUCAUUCAUCAAUGACUGUAACUAUUACUACUAUUAAGGACAUUAAAGACUAUACUACACAACUAGUGGGUCAUUAACAUUCAUUCAGUCUUCAUUCAAUAAUGUAAUUUCUGCAUACUGAGAGUGAGUAAAGAAGUUAUUAUACAUGAAUUAUGACCUUAAUAUGCUUUAUUUAGUAUAAAGGUGGUAUUACUAUAGCCAUUCCUUUUGAAUGGCUCUUAAUAAAUAUGACAUGUUCUUAUGUAACAAAACUGGAAGUGUAAAUAGGGUUAGAGUGUAAAUAACUCUGGAGUGAAGUCUUUCAACUUUUAGAAUGUUUCCUGUCCUAAAGUCUGUUCUAAAGUCCUGUUCUAUAGUUGUGUUCAAUAAAGACAUAAAAUAGUAUAAUUGUAUGAGUUGAGAACAUUGUCUGAGAACAUUGUGUUUGUCUGUACUUGUGGCUUAAAUGCAAAUCAGAUCACAUUUUAUGUACAAUUCAUCUAAAAACAAAAAAUAAGGAAAUUUCAAAGGAUUCACAUACUUUUUCCUGUCACUAUAACAUUUUGUCAUUUGGUGGCAGUGGAUGGAAAUGUACCUUGUCUCCUCAUCCUAGGAGUCUUCAAGAACUUAAAGAUGAUUGAAUUUAAUAUGUUAAAAUGCACUUUCCUUAUUUGUUUGAAUGGUUUACUUUUUAUGAGGAGAAUCUAAACAUAUUUCCAGGAUUUUUUGUUGCUUCAGUUUCCAUUUUCUGGUCACUGAGCCUGUUCUUGUUAAGGAUCCAGUCUCUGCUUUUUAUAGUGAUAGUGAUCGUAGAGAUACAGUAUAUUCUGCCUAAUCGACAUUUAAGGCCAGAUAACAUUCUAAUCCAUGUUGGCUUUUAGUUUUAUUACACUGAGUUUUAAUUCAGUUUACUCUGAUCAGUGUUUGGACUGUGGUGUUGUUGUGAGAGUGGUGCACUUUUUUUUUUUUUUAACAUCUAAAAACACCCUGUAUUUGCCCUGCACAUGGAAUAUUAGAGCCUCACCUUUGAAUCUUCAGUGAUUGAAGAGAGGCCUGUGGAGUUUCCAGCAGAGAUUUCAGGCCAUGCAGUGUUUGAAUCAGCUGCUCUGUCAGUUCAUUUUGUGUGUCACUAUUACCAAUUGGGUUGUCUAUAUUAACUGUCCAACUCAGUUGCUGCUUCUUUGCUUCUGCAGCGGUCUGCCCUGCUGUUCCCUUCCCUGCUGCUUUUUGUGCAUUCAUGCCCAGCUGCCAGCCCAGCAUCUACCUGCAGGCACUAUUUAUUUAUAGUUCCCCAGGGGGUUUGCUAUUGAUCUUCCCUGCUCUUGCUUUGGCUGGUUUAAAAAAUUAUGCUCACAGGGAGGGGUCCAAACAGAGUUUAAUGUGGAAUCAAGCCUCUAUUUGCAUUUAUUCUCAAUAAAGUGCUCCUAAUAA